rnacentral:rRNA from 1 species
UACAGAAAGCCAAUCUCAGUUCGGAUUGUAGGCUGCAACUCGCCUACAUGAAGUUGGAAUCGCUAGUAAUCGCGAAUCAGAAUGUCGCGGUGAAUACGUUCCCGGGUCUUGUACACACCGCCCGUCACACCACGAGAGUUUACAACACCCGAAGUCAGUGGCCUAACCGCAAGGAGGGAGCUGCCUAAGGUGGGGUAGAUGAUUGGGGUGAAGUCGUAACAAGGUAAC